rnacentral:rRNA from 1 species
CCUACGGGAGGCAGCAGUAGGGAAUUUUCCGCAAUGGGCGAAAGCCUGACGGAGCAAUACCGCGUGAGGGAUGACUGCCUGUGGGUUGUAAACCUCUUUUCUCAAGGAAGAAGUCCUGACGGUACUUGAGGAAUAAGCAUCGGCUAACUCUGUGCCAGCAGCCGCGGUAAUACAGAGGAUGCAAGCGUUAUUCGGAAUCACUGGGCAUAAAGCGUCUGUAGGUGGUUUGGUAAGUCUGCUGUUAAAGACUGGGGCUCAACCCCAGAAAAGCAGUGGAAACUGCCAAACUCGAGUGUGGUAGAGGUAGAGGGAAUUCCUAGUGUAGCGGUGAAAUGCGUAGAUAUUAGGAAGAACACCAAUGGCGAAAGCACUCUACUGGACCAUAACUGACACUGAGAGACGACAGCUAGGGGAGCAAAUGGGAUUAGAUACCCCAGUAGUCCUAGCCGUAAACGAUGGAUACUAGAUGUUGCACGUAUUAACCCGUGCAGUAUCGUAGCUAAGGCGUUAAGUAUCCCGCCUGGGAAGUACGCUCGCAAGAGAGAACACAAGAAGUAGACGCGUGAGAGUGCGACGACGACGACGAGGGAGAGG